GGUGGAGCAGGUCGUCAACGGCGCGCUGGUGGUCACUGUGAGCUGCGGCGAGCGCAGCUUCGCGGGGAUCCUGCUGGACUGCACGAAAAAGUCUGGCCUCUUUGGACUGCCACUGGCUGAUGACCCCCCUGCCGUCAAUCCCCAUGGCCCCGCCCCUGAGGAAAGUGAUGGAGAAGUGAUGCAGCUGGGGACGGGCUUCCUGCCUCCUCCCCACAGCGAACAGUCCCCCGAGGACCAGCCUCCCAAGAUAGCUGGCCCUGAGGUACCUCCGCCCCUCGUGCCACCACUGCCUGCCCGGAGCCUGCCCCCCUACCCACCAUACUUUGAAGGUGCCCCCUUCCCUCACCCACUCUGGCUGAGAAACACCUAUCAGCAGUGGGUGCCACAGCCUCCCCCAAGGACCAUCAAGCGAACCCGACGUCGUUUGUCCCGCAACCGAGACCCAGGCCGCCUCAUCCUGAGUACCAUCCGCCUACGUCCCCGCCAGGUGCUCUGUGAGAAGUGCAAGAGCACUGUGAGUCCCCAGGAGGCCAGCCCCAGUCCCCCAGCUGCUUCCAGGCCCCGCCGGAGGCUGGGCAGUGGCUCAGACAGGGAGCCCCGCAAGCCAGAGGAGCCAGAGGACAGCGACCCUGCAGCCACAGCCACUGUGAGGAAGAGCAAGAAGGAGAGACGGGAGGAGGACAGGGCCUCGACUGAACAGGUCCCACGGAGCCCUGUCAUCAAGAUCUCCUACAGUACACCCCAGGGCAAGGGUGAGGUGGUCAAGAUCCCAUCCCGUGUGCAUGGCUCCCUGGAGCCAUUCUGCCCCCAGCAGGCUCUCCACAAUGGCAGCCAGGAACCCGAGGUGCUGAGAGAUGCAGAGUCCAGGGGCAAUGGGGACCGACCACCCAGUGGACCUUCUGCCUCCAUCCCCAAGCUGAAGCUGACACGUCCUCUGCCUCCUGGCUCAGACUUGCCACCUCCUAAGAUCCGCCUGAAGCCCCACCGCCUGGGGGAUGGUGAGUGUGAGCCCCUAUACAGGGCCGAGCUGGUGGAGGAGCUGAAUGGCUGCCAACAAGGCCCCCGGACCAGCUCACCUGCCCUCUUUGCGGAUAGCUCUGCCCAUGGACUGCAGGAUUUGUCUUCCGGAAGUUCUGGUGAGGAUGAUGACUUCAAGAGGUGUCCCCAAAGUAAACAGGGACGUGAUGGCUUAGCCUUUCUGGUAAAUUGCCCUGGGAGAAGAGCAGAUUGCGCCAGUGAGUCUGUGUGCAGCAGCGACAGCCUGGAUGAAUCCAAAUCAUCCAGCUCGGAAGUGACGUCUCCAGAUACAGGGGACCUCUCAUCCGGUGAUGGUGCAACUGUGCCUUCCUCAUCCAGGGGUGUUCGCCAGACAGUCCCACCCCUAACAGUCAGGCUGCAUACACAGAGCGUCUCUAAGUGUGUUACCGAAGAUGGAAGGACCGUGGCUGUAGGGGACGUCGUGUGGGGUCACCAACGGUGAGGAUGCAGCUGUUGUCCUGGAGCCUCUGACUUCCAUCCAAAGGACCCCACGUGCCUUCUGGCCAGCUUCGUGCAGACACACGCUGAGUACAGUGGUCAGCCUGGUGCAAGGCCCCAGAGGAGCAAGUGUGUCCAGGAGGAGACAAGACCAGUGCACAGUGGCGCCUCUUGGCUGAAUGUAUUUAUUCCUGUGACUCAGGCUGCAGUGUUCCUGGCUUGGAAAGAGCCAGGAACUCAGUGAUGAGCUUGCUGCUUCACAUGCUGGGCAUGGGCGGCCUCCAGGCUUGGACUUCCCUUGCAAGAGCAGGGCCUUCUGCCCCUGCCCACCUGGUUGCCAGUGUGGGUGGCUGUGCCUAGCCAUGGAUCUUCCCUCUGGGGAUGGCUGUCUCAGCUGCUGGGCUCCAGCUGUCUGCAGGCUUGAUAAAUACCAAAUUGCACGUGUGGGGUUCUUCUUCCCAAGCCCUUGGGCAUGGGGUCUCUGUGCACUUAAGAGCUGGGGACCCACCUGCAUCUCACCCCAUUCCUCCCAGAGCAUGGGUCCCCCUGGGUGGCCGGCCCCUGCCUGCAAAGCCACCUUGUCCAGGAGAUGCUGCUAUGAAUUGCCAGUACUGUGAGGAGGAGGUGAAGGGUAGACCUUGAAAACAGCGCAACGUUAAGAGGAGAAACUGGCACUGCUGUUUGUAAGAGUGCAUUCCUUCCCCUUUCUGUCACUUUAUAGACCAAAAAGAAAAAUGAAAGAAAAAAAAAAAGUCUUCUGCUCUUUCUUUGUUUAAAUGUGCGAAAGAAAAAUCUAGGUUGAUGUUACCUGAGCAGCCCUGAGGUCGCACCUAUGUUGGGGCUGUCGUGUGGAGGGACCCUGGAGGCCCUUGACAGUGUGAGGAAGGGGCCCAUGGCCACAUGUAUCAAGGUGGCACCAUGCCGGGCAGAUGGGAAGUCCCAGUCUCUCCCUGCCUGGGCCUCCCUCCUGUUUCCUGGUUGACACUUGAAUUUCCUGGACAGAGGCACCCCCCCUGCAAGUGGGGGUAGUUUUGCUCUUUGUUCCUACUGGUGCAACUUCUUUUUUUUUUUUUUUUUUCAGUACUGGGGAUUGAACUCAGGACCUUGCACUUUCGAAGCAGGCACGGUGCCACUGAGCUACAACCCCGGCCAACUUGAGCUGUUUUAAGUCAAGUUUCCAGCCUCCAACCCCACACACAUUGCUUCCAGGGCCUCUGGUGGCACCCCUGAGCUAAAUCCCCGUCCCUAGUGCAACUUCUUUAAUCCCCUAGUUUCUUAGUUUGUUCAUUGAAAGCCAAGGGACAUCCCAGGGAUGGUGGUGGUGACUUUGCUUGUUCUUGGUUUUAC
rnacentral:lncRNA from 1 species